UAUGAGCGUGUCGUGGUAGGGAACCAACCUUUGUGCAUCCAAAUGCUCCACAACUGGAAUGGCCUCUGCACAAUUCACGUCAAUGGGAUGGUGGUGCAUCUUGUAAACAUCUUGAAUGAAAAGUAAUGCAGGUGGGGAUGGGAAAAGAGGCUCUGCUGUGCAAGAGGAGAUGAAGCAGACUUCCAACACUAUAUUUUAAUCUGCAUGUAAUACUGGAUUUCUCCACCUUCAGAAACUUGAAGUCUUUUUUGAACACAUCAUUGCUCAUAGAACAUAGAGGUUGUGUGUUAUGCUAUUUCAAAUUACUGUGCCUAAACUAUCUGUUGCAAUGUAUUGUGAAAAACAUGUACUUCAUGUAUUUGUUUUGGAAUGUAAGCGUGUGGGGCAAAAUAAGAAUGAAAAACCUCCUAAAAUAUUUGAGGGCCUCAGAAUUAUUUAAUCCUCUUCUUUCUAUGCUCUCUGGUUUGUUUCACAGUCAUGACAUUUGUGUCUUGAGAUUCUCAGUGGGACUUGAAAUAUUGCUUGCCUAAUUUCAGAGCAAAGACAUCAGAUUGAUGUUGGCUGUAUCAUUUGCAGGUGUAUGUUGUUAUGUUCCUAUUAGACUGUAGGGGUGUUUUUGGAAUUGUGCUCCUGAAAUGUCUUAACUCUGUUCAUUUCUCUCUCUCUUCUUCCUUGGAAGGCCAUGGUUGUGCUCAUGCUCACCGAAGAGAUGCAAAGCCUAGUUACACCACCAUAGGCCAAGGAGAAGCAAAUGGGGCCAUGCUGUUGCUUCAGCCUCUGCUUUUGAGUUUUACUUCUGCUGCAUCCUGUGAAUUGUGAUAUGUAAAUCUCUGUUGACCAUAAAUCCCCAGUCUUGUCAGAAUGAAUGCAGAUCAUAGAAGGGAAAGGAAGGGUAGGAUGCAUUUUAAUGUUUUUAAGCUUUGCUGAGGACAUCUGGCCUGUGGUGAUUUGCUUAAAAGAGGAUUAAUUGUAACGCAAACUCAGGAAGAAUGGGGAUUCUUUAGUGACAAGUGUCAAGUAUACAGGAAAUGUAUUGUUUAUAGGAGCCAGUGGAAUCAAAACAGAAUUAUAAAACCUUUCCAGGAUCUCCCUGAUGUUUCAAAAUGCUUCAGAGAAAUCCAUUAUAUCUGGAGAAUUUCCCCAGCAGGAAUUCUUCAUGUAAUAGAGUUUUGUCCUCAAUGUCUUCCGUUUGAAUAAAGAACUUCUUUGAAAUCCAGAGUUACAGCAAGUGAAGUGAAGCUAAAUUGUGUUUGCCUUACGCACAGAAGUGCUUUGCACAAACACAGUUUUGUCAGCAAAUAGACUGUUACUCGUUAAAUGAGAGUGUUUGUGCCACGUAAUUAAAGUUCCACGGUCUGGCUUACUUGUUGCAGAUGAUAGACACCAAUAUAGACCCACAGCUUUAUCCCCGUGGAUGAACAUCUGCAGCCCCACAGCCUUACUACCUGAGGGAGGACUCACUAACCCCAGGCAUAUCUACCUGGUGAGCUGGAGGCUGGUAUAGAGAUAUCCAAGCUAGCAGAGAUCCCAGACAGUGUGGAUUUCCGAUGUGGCUCUGAAUGCAGCUCAGCCAUUUUUUGUGAAGUAUGGUGCUCAGACUAAUAAAUCUGCCCCAGAAAAGUCUUUGGCUGUGGUCUUGCAGAUACACAAGGGGACAGAUUCAUAAAGUGAACCAGAUCUGUGACAGGUUUUCUGAAGGGUGACACUGCGCCAGCUGGACUUCCUAGUAACAGCAGCACUCACUAGUUUUGAAAAUGAAAUGUUGAGAACAGAGAAGUGCUGAUUUCAGAAUAACGUGGAGGUCAGCUAUUACAGUCUUUGUAUGAAAUAAAUAUUGGAUACCAAUAAAUAAGUGACGUUACACUCUGAAA